AUGGAGGCGCUUAUCGGUAUGUCUCCUCCAUAGCCUCCCGAAUCACAAGGAGACAAGAAGAAGGAAAGAGUCGCAGCCAGUACUCCUUUCACCUGGAUUGCGUGAAACUUUGGAAAUUCCCUUGAUGCUACCAAUGAAGAGGUCCAGACAUACACUUGUGUCUACAUGUGGUACGUUAUCUCUAGGACUCUAUUUGCUCACAGCACAUGCAAGAAUGCUCCAUGGAUGUGGCUGAAGAGGGGGCAAAUCAUUGGUGGAGAUGGGGAUGGGGGUUGGGUGUGGGGGUGUGGGUGGAGUGGGGGAGGGGGGGCAGCCCGACAACAUAGUAACAGGAUGUGCAACGCCUAA
rnacentral:rRNA from 1 species